CUAAAACCUUGAUGCGAUUCUGAUCGGAGCUUUUUUUAUCCCAACUCUCUCUCUCUCUCUCCAAUGGCGUGCAUCUUCUUCUUCUCUGUUUCUCUGCCCUCGCUUCGCAUCCGGAGCAGGACGACGUCGUUUGGAUUUGAAAUCGAUUUCGAGCUUGGAAAAUGUUGAAAAUGGAGCGGUCGUUCCCCUAGGAGGUGCUGGAGCACGUGUUCUCAUUCCUGCAGACGGACGGCGACUGGAACUCGACCUUGCUGGCGUACAAGUCAUGGUAGAAGAUCGAGCGGUGCGCUGAAAAUUCAAAGCUUUGGUUUUUGCAUUAUCAGUAAUCUUAUAUUGUUGGUUUUAGCUCUAUCCUUCUUGUAGGCAGUGAGUACAAUGAUGACUAUAAUUCAUACUGCUGAGGAGGAGAAAAACCUACAGUACUCCAUCCAAAUUCCACCACACUAUAACUGGUACCCUUCAAUUGAUUUGUAAGUUUGAUUUUUUGGCAUGCCAUCUACCUGUUUGAUAAAUUGCCUCUUUUUACUUUCGAUUAGGUUCAAUGUAGCUUCUGUUUCGCACUGUUUUUGUGCGGAUAAACUGUUAUUUUUAAGUAGUUGGAUGAUGGUGGUUAGAUAUAUAGCUUCCAAUUCUUGCCAUCUACUUAGUGAAAGCGAUUGUGUUGCUUAAAGAUUAGAGAAUAGUGUGGAUGAUCUUUUGUUUGUGUGUUCAGAGGAUCAAAUAGAAUCCCUUGGAAAUGCAUCUUUCAGAGAUUGUUGUACUGUUUGUUAUACAGCCUUGUAGCUUUCAUUAUUUAGAUUUCACAAUUAAUAGAAGUCAAGACGUGUGGGUUGGAAUAAGGAGAAGAAGAAGCGGCGCCUCCGCAAUAGGCGACCUAAGCAAAACUCCUCCGCAUCAGCUUUGACUAAAUUUAAACAUAAAGAUGAAGAUUAUGACAUUCUCUCAACAAGGAUCUCAGGUUAUUUGUAUACUUUCUGCAAAUAGUACCAUAACAAAUGUCACACUACGACAGCCCAGUACUUUUGGAGGUAUUUUAACAUACGAGGAUAUAUAGAUAGAAGACAUGGGGCGGGGCAAAAGAAAACAUAAGGAAGAAAGUGAAGAAGAAGAUCAUGAAGAAGAAGCAGAAAUUCCAGCGAGGAAGAAAAAGGAUAUGAAGAAGAGUAGCAAGGAUAGAAGAAAUUUUAGAAAUUUGUUUAGAGCCUAGGAUGCAAGUGAAUUAAAUCAAUUACUUUUUUGUA